UACGUAGGGGGCAAGCGUUGUCCGGAAUCAUUGGGCGUAAAACGCGUGUAGGCGGCCUUGUAAGUCCGUUCUGAAAGCCCGGGGCUCAACCCCGGGAGGCGGAUGGAUACUGCAAGGCUCGAGUCCGGAAGAGGCGAGUGGAAUUCCCGGUGUAGCGGUGAAAUGCGCAGAUAUCGGGAGGAACACCAAUGGCGAAGGCAGCUCGCUGGGACGGUACUGACGCUGAGACGCGAAAGCGUGGGGAGCAAACAGG
rnacentral:rRNA from 1 species